UACAGAGGUCUCAAGCGUUGUUCGGAUUCAUUGGGCGUAAAGGGUGUGUAGGUGGCGCGCUAAGUCGGGUGUGAAAUUUCGGAGCUUAACUCCGAAACUGCAUUCGAUACUGGCGUGCUUGAGGACUGGAGAGGAGACUGGAAUUCAUGGUGUAGCAGUGAAAUGCGUAGAGAUCCGGAAGAACACCGGUGGCGAAGGCGGUCUGCUGGGGUAAUGCUGACACUGAUGCGCGACAGCGUGGGGAGCAAACAGG
rnacentral:rRNA from 1 species